rnacentral:tRNA from 1 species
GAAUCGGUAACUCAAUGGGCCAGAGUGCCUGCCUCUUAAGCAGGAGGUUGUGGGUUCAAAUCCCACCCGAUUCACCA